UCCGACAUGGCCUCUCUUAACCUUUCAGCCACCGCCCCUUUGUAACGCUUCACAUUAACAUUCAACCCACGUAAUUAAGAUCACUGUUACCAUCCUUUUCCCCAUUUAUUCCACUCUCCUUUGCUCAAUUAUAUCCAUCUCUUCAGAUGUUAUUUUUCUAUAAAUAAGAAUGUCUGUCUCACCUUUUCGCUAUGAAACCCAAAGGUUCAACAAUGGCAACCUUCAAGCUCCUUUUUCUGAUUUGAAAAUCAGCCGUUGUGCUGAGACAGUUAUUCUGCGAUAAUGUGAACAAAGGAAGUGGGUUUAUCGGUGUUGAUUGAGUUUUUGAUGCAGAUUGAGUCAUCUUUGUCAUUAACUACUUUCAGUUAUUGAGCUGUGGGUACAAAGUGUUCAUAUUUAUUAUUGUAGGGUGACCUACUAGAUCUGGAUAUCCGAGGUUCAAAAUUUACACAAGCAAAAAAGUCAGUUAUGAGGUAACUAAAGCUAAGACUCACGUUAUUCGAUAAUCUUUGUUGAUAGGUUUCUUUUUGGUAUGUUCUAUUUCAAGCUUAUGUGGUUAUGUUUCACCUAAGAUGUAAGAAUCAUCUUGGUUGUGAAAUUAAGUGCAUGCUUUGGAUGUACCACCGCGGAGAAAAUGAUUAUGUAGCUUGCUUGGAACAUGUUGGUCUUUUUUUUUUUUUUGAACAUGUUAGUCUAUCUUUUCUUCUUGACUACUGGACUUAGCGAGGAUGGAAACUCUAAUAUUUUCAAUUUUCAUGCACUUGACAGACAAUUAUGAAUAGUUAUAUAAUUUCCUAGAUUAGUUCUUUUCUGUUCUUGAAAUUGAGAAACAAUGCUCCCCCUUAUUAAAAUGUUACUUUCGUAUGUUCUUCUGUUCAGGUACUGCUGAAGUUCUUUCAUAUUCAGAUCUCAGACCACUUGACAUUAAAGCCCACACAGCCGGGUGCUAUUGCUUGCAUUCAUCAUCUUCGCACCCUGAAUUACAAAUUAUUAUUUAAUUCUUCUGGUUGCCUCUUCCCUUUACCACCUUAACAUAUACUUUGCUGUCGAAACAGGAUUCCUUUCUUAGUCAUCAUUUGGCACCUAUAAAUUUAUGUCUCUGCUUGCAUGUCUUAUAUAUAUGCAUUUAUUCACAAAGUUUUAGUCAUUUCCAUGAUGAUCUUAUGUGCUUCUUAAACUGCUUGGAUCUGUAGGGAAAUGUACCAGGCAAUGCAGACAUAAUGGUUUUGUUCUUGCCAUAGUAAAAACAAAUAAGAGAGUAUAGUUCCAAUACAAUUCCUUGUCUCAUAAUGUCUCGCUAACUAGAUCAGAGUAUUAUAUUAAUAUGAUUAUGAGUAUCCAAAAGCCAAUUUUGACCCUUUUUUUUUUUACUUGAAGUGUCAUAUUAUGUAUCUUUUCAGGAUAUACAAGCUGGAAACUCUGUGCACUGCUUCUUCUAUGGCGUUUUCUUGGAUGUUCCAGAAAAAACGUUAGAUUUGAAAUCUCACCUACUUAAAGUGUUAUACUGCAAUGAAGUUUGAUACGUGCUAUCAUGUGACACUAAAUUGGGUCAAGUUCUGCGUAUGUUUAGAUGCACGAGCCACGUCUACGCUAUCACCACCUAGAAUCUUUAAAUGGUUUUAAAGCAUUGUUAUUACUGUUUGAGGACUUUGGGAUCAUGAUUUCGAGAACGUUUGGUGAUGUUUUAAGCUGCGAAAGAAUGACAUAAAGGCGAUCUGAACAAUAACAGAAAGAUGCUCAUAUCUUGGAAUUUGGCUAUAAAAGACGAGUAAAGGUAGAAGAUUUGGCAGAUUCACAUGCUCAUCUUUAGUCUCUUUUAUUUUAACAUUUUUUUGUGUGGCAUCAUUUGCUUUUUGUUAGCUUGAGGUUUAGUUUCCAAUGUCACUCUGAUCACAAUGGAAUAAUAUAUAACAUUUAUGAUUUGAAUAUCUGAAAAAAUUCGCAGUAGAUUAAAGAGAUUCUAGAUUAAACUUAGUGCCUGGUUUUAUAAAAAUCUUUAAAUACAAAAAGAGUAUUCGUCAAGGGACGCCUGAAACAAAUUUCUCUCUUCAAAUAGAAACAUCAGAUUUCUCUAGAGGCAAGAAAAUAAUGUGUUGUGAGAAUUUAGUUGCUCAUGAUCUGUUUCUACUGUAAAAUGCACAUUUAGUAGUCGCAUUGU
rnacentral:lncRNA from 1 species